rnacentral:lncRNA from 1 species
UUGGCUUCCCUUUGUACACACAUCAAACUCGUCAACCAACAAUUUGUAUUGUGACAAUUAAUAAAAAUAAACGAUAAAAUAAAACAAUAUGGUUUGAGAGUGAUUGCUAAUAGUAAUUGUUACAAGAUAUUGACGAUUCUUACAAGUAAUUACUAUACGAAUAGAAUCUCAAAUUCGUACUUUUAUAGCUUUAGACACGUUGACUACCAUCUUCACAGUGUAACAUUCAUUGAAAUUCUUCUUUAUUAUCACCGAUCCAAGUUGGAACUUUCACCUGUUAUCCAACAAUCAACAAAGAACAAAAAAACAAGUUUAUAAUUAGAAUGCAGUUUCUGCUUCUUCUACCCACCCACUGAUGUUAAUAUCAAGUUUGGAUAUCGCAAAAAUCCUAAUAGGAUAAAUGGUUGAUAUGUUAUAUUUAUAAUGGAGUCUAUAUUUCAUUCUAAUAACCGAUUAUUUUCAUCGAAACUAAAAUAGAAAGAAUGAAAUUGAAAUAAAUGUAUGAUGAAAGAAUCAACAUUUUGAUCGGAACUCAAAAGCCAUAGAAAAACAAAGCUAAGAGUUGUUUAAUUAGAACCCAAAGGAUAAAGAAUAAUUUACAGAGGAUUAAGAAGGAGACGAAGUAGUACAUGGGUUAAGAAGGAGACAAAGUACCUUUCGUGACCUGUGUUCAAGAUUGGGGAAAAUCCAUGAACUACAAAUCUCUGAACAAAUCCAUGUAGAGAGAAUUUAGGGCAGAUCAUGAACUACAAAGCUCCAAACAAAUUGGGGCAAAUCCACGAACAAAGGGAUGAGCUCAUACAUAAACAGGGCAAGAUAAAGUGAGUUCACUCUCCCCAACUUUAAGUAAUAAAGCAAUCACAACUUCAUCAAAAAUCGGGAAUGUAAGUAAAAUACUUGAAUUAAGAGAGCGAGAGUUGGAAAGACGACGGUGGAAAAGGUUGCGGGCAAGGAGGUUGCGCAGGAGAAAAUGUCGGUGGUGGAGUAUCGACGACGAUAGUGGUCGAUGGGAGGGUUGGAGGCAGAAGAAGUCGUUGAUGGAGCAUGAGAAGGGGUGGUCGGCGUUCGAGGAAGAAGCGCCAUAGUUUUUGCAUCCCUUCCAACUAUACUAAGCAAUUACCCUUUGCAUAUUCCCUUUAAGAAACCACCAUCUAGCCCUAUUAUUUUCCUACAACCCCAUCCAUCCCUUUAUCACACCCUCAAAACACACAUAGAAUCUAUUGAAAUACUUUUUCCCAUCUGACAUGUCGUUAGCUUCUAUCCUUACACCAUAUGACCAAAGUUUGGCAUAAUGUUCCUGUUCCACAAGAUUUCCUUCAAUCAAUGUUGGUGCAU